CCUACGGGCGGCAGCAGUGGGGAAUAUUGGACAAUGGGCGAAAGCCUGAUCCAGCCAUGCCGCGUGUGUGAAGAAGGCCUUCGGGUUGUAAAGCACUUUCAGUGGGGAAGAAAGCCUUGGGGCUAAUACCCUCGAGGAAGGACAUCACCCACAGAAGAAGCACCGGCUAACUCCGUGCCAGCAGCCGCGGUAAUACGGAGGGUGCGAGCGUUAAUCGGAAUUACUGGGCGUAAAGCGCGCGUAGGCGGUCUGAUAAGCCGGUUGUGAAAGCCCCGGGCUCAACCUGGGAACGGCAUCCGGAACUGUCAGGCUAGAGUGCAGGAGAGGAAGGUAGAAUUCCCGGUGUAGCGGUGAAAUGCGUAGAGAUCGGGAGGAAUACCAGUGGCGAAGGCGACCUUCUGGACUGACACUGACGCUGAGGUGCGAAAGCGUGGGUAGCAAACAGGAUUAGAUACCCUGGUAGUC
rnacentral:rRNA from 1 species